UACCAGCACCCCGAGUGGUCGGGACGUUUAUUGGGCCUAAAGCAUCCGUAGCCGGUUCUACAAGUCUUCCGUUAAAUCCAGCUGCUUAACAGAUGGGCUGCGGAAGGUACUAUGGAGCUAGGAGGCGGGAGAGGCAAGCGGUACUCGAUGGGUAGGGGUAAAAUCCGUUGAUCCAUUGAAGACCACCAGUGGCGAAGGCGGCUUGCCAGAACGCGCUCGACGGUGAGGGAUGAAAGCUGGGGGAGCAAACCGG
rnacentral:rRNA from 1 species